AGAUAUGAUCCAGAGUACCACGGGACACGUGAAACCCUGUGGGAAGCAGGAGGGACCACCCUCCAAGGCUAAAUACUACCUAGUGACCGAUAGCGUAUAGUACCGUGAGGGAAAGGUGAAAAGAACCCCGGGAGGGGAGUGAAAUAGAACCUGAAACCCUGCACUUACAAGCUGUGGAAGCACAUUUCUUGUGUGACCGCGUACUUUUUGUAGAACGGGCCAACGAGUUACGUUAAGUAGCAAGGUUAAGCACUUAAGGUGCGGAGCCGUAGCGAAAGCGAGUUUUAACUGAGCGUUCAGUUACUUGACGUAGACCCGAAACCGGGCGACCUACCCAUGAGCAGGAUGAAGCGAAAGUAAAAUUUCGUGGAGGUCCGAACCCACGAGCGUUGAAAAGCUCGGGGAUGACUUGUGGGUAGCGGUGAAAUUCCAAUCGAGCCCGGAGAUAGCUGGUUCUCCCCGAAAUAGCUUUAGGGCUAGCCUCAAGGUGAGAGAUACGGAGGUAGAGCACUGAAUGUCCUAGGGGGUAUUGCACCUACCGAAGACUAUCAAACUCCGAAUGCCGUCAUCUUAUACUUGGGAGUCAGACUGUGGGUGAUAAGAUUCAUAGUCGAAAGGGCAACAGCCCAGAUCGUCAGCUAAGGUCCCUAAAUGUAAGUUAAGUGGUAAAGGAUGUGGGAUUGCACAGACAACCAGGAUGUUGGCUUAGAAGCAGCCACUCAUUCAAAGAGUGCGUAAUAGCUCACUGGUCGAGUGAUCCUGCGCCGAAGAUUUCCGGGGCUAAAACUUACUACCGAAGCUACGGCAUCAGUAAUGAUGGGUAGGGGAGCUUCCCAUACGGGUUGAAGCAUGACCGUAAGGACAUGUGGACAGUAUGGGAGUGAGAAUGUUGGCAUGAGUAGCGAGAUGUGGGUGAGAAUCCCACAGGCCGUAAACCCAAGGUUUCCAGGGGAAGGUUCGUCCGCCCUGGGUUAGUCGGGACCUAAGCUGAGGCCGAAAGGCGUAGGUGAUGGACAACAGGUUGAUAUUCCUGUACUACCGAUAACCGUUUGAGAGAAGGGAUGACACAGUAGGAUAAGCUAAGCACACUGUUGGUUAUGUGUGCCCAAGCAUUGAGGCAGUCAAAGUAGGCAAAUCCGCUUUGAUAAUGCUGGGAUGUGAUGGGGAGCGAAAUUUAGUAGCGAAGUAGCUGAUUUCACACUGUCAAGAAAAGUCUCUAUCGAGGUUAAAGGUACCCGUACCGCAAACCGACACAGGUGGGUGAGGAGAGUAUCCUAAGGCCAGCGAGAGAACUGUUGUUAAGGAACUCGGCAAAAUGACCCCGUAACUUAGGGAUAAGGGGUGCCACCAUCAGGUGGCCGCAGAGAAUAGGCCCAAGCGACUGUUUACCAAAAACAUAGGUUUCUGCUAAGUCGCAAGACGAUGUAUAGGAGCUGACGCCUGCCCGGUGCUGGAAGGUUAAGGGGAUCUGUUAGAGCAAUCGAAGCAGUGAACUUAAGCCCCAGUAAACGGCGGCCGUAACUAUAACGGUCCUAAGGUAGCGAAAUUCCUUGUCGGGUAAGUUCCGACCCGCACGAAAGGCGUAACGAUUUGGGCACUGUCUCAACAACAGACUCGGUGAAAUUGUAAUUCCGGUGAAGAUGCCGGAUACCUGCGACAGGACGGAAAGACCCCAUGGAGCUUUACUGUAGCUUGACAUUGGGUCUUGGUACUACAUGUACAGGAUAGGUGGGAGGCUUUGAAACCAGGACGCCAGUUUUGGCGGAGCCAUCCUUGGGAUACCACCCUUGUAGUACUGGGACUCUAACCAUAGGCCAUGAAUCUGGUCUUGGGACACUGUCAGGUGGGCAGUUUGACUGGGGCGGUCGCCUCCCAAAAGGUAACGGAGGCGCUCAAAGGUUCUCUCAGUACGGUCGGAAAUCGUACGUAGAGUGUAAAGGCAAAAGAGAGCUUGAUUGCAAGACAUACAGGUCGAGCAAGGAUGAAAAUCGGACUUAGUGAUCCGGUGGUUCUGCGUGGAAGGGCCAUCGCUCAACGGAUAAAAGCUACCCUGGGGAUAACAGGCUUAUCUCCCCCAAGAGUCCACAUCGACGGGGAGGUUUGGCACCUCGAUGUCGGCUCAUCACAUCCUGGGGCUGUAGUAGGUCCCAAGGGUUGGGCUGUUCGCCCAUUAAAGUGGUACGCGAGCUGGGUUCAGAACGUCGUGAGACAGUUCGGUCCCUAUCCGUCGCAGGCGUAGGAAAUUUGAGAAGACCUGUCCUUAGUACGAGAGGACCGGGAUGGACGUACCUCUGGUGUACCAGUUGUCCUGCCAAGGGCAUGGCUGGG
rnacentral:rRNA from 1 species